AUUGAACGCUGGCGGCAGGCCUAACACAUGCAAGUCGAGCGAGAGGCGGACGGGUAAGUAAUGUAUGGUGACUGCACGAUAGAGGGGGGUCACUACUGGAGACGGUGGCUAGUACCACCUGUUGUCGGAUAACCCAUAUCGGAUUAGCUAGUAGUUAAGGGAAUGGCUUACCUAGGCGACGAUCCCUACCUGGUCUGAGAGGAUGAUCAGCCAAACUGGGACUGAGACACGGCCCAGACUCCAAGGGAGGCAGCAGUGGGGAAUAUUGCACAAUGGGCGAAAGCCUGAUGCAGCAAGGCCGCGUGUAUGAAGAAGGACCUAGGGUUGUAAAGUACUGUCAGUCGGGAGGCGUUACCGACAGAAGAAGCACCGGCUAACUACGUGCCAGCAGCCGCGGUAAUAC
rnacentral:rRNA from 1 species